UUAAAUUAAGAAGAAAAUAGCCAUUUACUUGAGAGACGUGUGGGCCGGAAGAAACGUUUCUUGUGGGAUAGGUGUUUCUUUCUCGCUUCGACGAAGCUUUGAUCGGUAUCUUCUGCCUUCCAUGGCCAGUGAAAGCAGCAGAAUCGGAUUGUUUACGAACGCGGAGGUGACCACGAGCGGAAGACCAGUGCUCCGCCGCAACGAAGUCGAGUGCUUCCUCCCCUCCUCUGUUGACCUAGAUUCCGAAGACGAUCCACCGCGAUUCACCUCCCUGAGGUACUAAAGAACCUCGCCGUUCUGAGUUAUCAAUCCUCGCCGAACUUUGUCACCAGAAUUUCCGCCUCCGUUUCACCCAGGUGAUCCCGACUCGAACCUAAGUCUCUGAUUGCCUCUUUCAUAUCUCAUUUCACGCAGUCUUCUUAUCGCUUUGAGAGGAUCAAUCUGAUUAGGUUUUAAUCCAUGAUCCCGUCUCUUAACUCUUGUUAUUGAUCCAUCUUUGGCAUUCAUAUUGAGAUUGCGUUUAUGUAUUAUGUUUGUGAUCAUUCAAGAAGCUAUCACACUGAUGAAAACGAGAUUCAUUCAAGUCUUCAACUUUUGUAGUUAGUUUUGAUUCUACAGAGCUUGCAUCCUGCGUUUUAUCUGACUGAUGACGCUUGAUGAUUAUAAGGUGGAAGAAACUAAGUAUAAUUGGUGAUCUUCAGUUGCAGCAACAAUUAAAGGUGGAGCUUAUGGUUUCAUCUCGGUGGUGUUGUGGAGUGGGUUAUAUCAGUUUCAGGUAGUGUAGCUUCUUCGUCAAAAGUUGUUUAUCCAGAUACAGCUCAGAUGAUCGUUUAUGACCCAACAAAGAAAUCAGAGUUUUCUAGUUCGGUAAAACCAAUGGCGGCUUCUGCUUCGAACACCUUUCAAAGUAAUGUGACAGCAACUGCAACUCAUGUCUCAGCCAACACAUUUGAUGAAAUACCAAAGACUACUCCACCUGCAUUGUUAGCUUUUUUAGCUAACUUGCCUCAUAUUGACGGUAAAUUUCUUAAACCAGUUCCAAGCGAUUGAGAGUCUUAAGGAAUGGAUUGAGCUUAGGGAUCUUCACAGCUAUCAUAUGACUUCCAUGAAGUGUUGAAUAGCAUUGUUUUCCAUCACAAACCACAAUCUGAAACAUUUCUUUCAUCACAAAAUCUUGUUCUCUUUCAUGUUCUUCCUUUUAUUUAUCAAUCCAAUCAACAAUCUUAAACAUUUCUUUCAUCACUUUUUUUUAAGAAUCCUUAACUUAAAAAACUACCAUUGAAGAACUAAAAUUAGGUGUUUCUUAACAUAAACUCUUAACUUAAUUUUAACUAAAUUUUGACCGCGUCCCUGCGCGGGUGUUGAAUUUAAUUUGUGUUAAAUGUAAACUCAUAAAUCAUUGGAUUUACAAAAUGUCCAUGUAUAUUUUUAUGUUUCGUAAACUACAUUUUAGAGUAGAAUAUAUUAUUUUAUAAUAUAGAUGUUUGAUAAUAUUUUUUUAUCUAUGCAUAAUAGUAUAUUUAUAAUUUUAUAACUUGAUGCAAGUUGACGUAAUUAUAAUAUUCAUAUAUUAACCUCUUGCUUUCUGUUUAUUUAUUUAAAAAUGAUUUUAUCUUUUGCAGUAGUUUUCUAUGAAUUAUUAUUAAUUUUGUGAUAUUUUAUUUUUGAAAAUUAUAUUGUUUUAUAUAAUAUAUAUAUAUAUAUAUAUAUAUAUUAUAUAUUACAGUUUCUGUUUUUAUUUUCACCGCAAAGAACAACAACCAUAAAUUGCUAAAUAAAAUUUACUGUAGUUCACUUUAUUUAAAAAAAAAAUUAAAAUGUCAAUUAUUUAAAAAAUUGGGCUAGACUAUAUAAUAAAAGAAUUAAUAUGUCAAUUAUUUACAGAAUUGGGCUAGUAAUCAUGUAUCCAAAUUAUACAUAAAAGCUGGCCCAUAUUAAUAUUUUUCCUUUUGUCGAUUUGUCCAACUAAUUACUCAGGGAAAAUAACAUGUUACUUAGAAAAGUCAACUACUUUUUGCUUUCUCCUAAUCUUCUCUGUUGGCCAUUCGGUGUCUCUCUCUUUUAUCUGAUCUUCAUAAUGAUAACUUAAAAAAGAUAAAUCAAAUACCGAAUAUGAGGUUUUUUUAAUCCUAAAGACGAAUUCAUGUUCACCAGUUUGUUCAUCGAUUUAUUGUAUAAAAGAUCUGUCAUCUCUAAUAGAAGAUUGGCCAUCACCCAAGUGUUUCAAAAUUUGUAAACGAAUCUUCAAUUUCUCAACGCAUGUAAUAGGUAGAAAAAGGAGAUGAUUUGAUCAAAUUGAUGUGCUCUUGAUUCCUGUUAUGUUACCAGCGAUGAAUAUGGUCGACAUGGAAGAAGCAAAGUUAGGUUUCUGUUUUUCUUAAACACUUUCUGCUUGUUAUUUUCUACGUUCUUUUUUUGAAUAUUCAUUGGUUGUAUAACUUAUUUAGAAUGUGGUCGAGAUAGGAUUUAUUGGUUAAUGAGUUUGCAUUCGUUUGCAAUAAGUUAUGUUUUUGAUUUAAAACUACACUAGAUAAGCCUAUAAUUUACAAACCAAAUUAAUAUAUUGUAUCUAUUCCAUUAAUUUUGCUUGUUUAGAUUUUGACUUGGCUUGUUAUGUGUUUUUCGGGCAUGUACUAACUUUUAUUUAUUGACUGAUUACACGGUUGCAUAUAAGACACAUAGUGAAGAAAAAAAGAGACUGAAACAGACGAAGGAAAUAGUAAAAACUUGUCUUCCAUAUCAGUAUCUUUCAGGUUAUGUAGGUGUUAUUGAUAAGAAUUCUAGAUGUUGGAGAAGAAAGAUCAUUCAAGGGAGAAGCUCAAAUACCAAAUAUAAUUGCGAACUUUGCGGACAAAACCAAGGUAACUAACUGUGGAGGCAUUCGAUGGCUUUUAAGGAGAUUAGGAAGCAAUAUAAGAGAUGUGAAAACAUAUAUAGCUCGGAGAAAAAAAAGACUUGGGAUGAAAGUUUAGUUUUGAAAAUUAAGGUAAUAAUAUAUUUCAAGAUUGCAACCGAGAAUCUAGCCUAUUCUGUCUACCAAUUAAUUCAAACUCUCUAUUUAUUAAGAUAUUCUCACGAAUAUUUUUUGCUUUCAUAGUUUGGUUAAUUGAACCAGUUGGUUAAGAUAUUUACUGGGUAAGUUAAUCGAUAAUGUGCAUGUUAUUGAUUUUGAUUUUGGUUUAAGUUGUGCGACAGUGAAAUUACGAAAAUGACAUUAAUGAAGGAAGCAAAGAAAACGUUUUCUCCUGCUAACUUUGUGUCCAAACAACAGUUAAAAAAAAUUAAAAGUCUACAAUCUAAGUUUUCAAACAGUAUCAAAAGGUACUUCAAUUUUAAUAAUAUAAAUACUUAAAUAUUGACUAAGAACUCAUUUAGAGGUUACCCCUGUAAACAUGCUCUUAUAUACUAUAAAGAAGAGCUCCACUGUCUUCUCUUCUUGCCAUGUCAUCAGAUAAAGGGCGCAGAGAGUGAUACGUGUCCUAUUGAACUAAGUCUCGAGCUUCUUUUUUUUUGUUUCUAAUGGGCUUUACACGUCUGUGUAUUCUGUACGCUUAAAAAUAUAAUUUUGGGCUGAAACCUUUGAGUCGCAUUCUCUUCUUCUCUUUCUAAAGUUUAUCCGCCUUGAGCAGAAUGUUCUUUUAUACUUUUUAAUCGUCAUCUUCCAUCCGAAUUCGUCAUCUCCAAGUUCAUCAUCAUACGAAUCCUUCGCCAUCAAGAACCAUCGACAUUAUCUGAGUUUUAGGAGGAUGUGUGAGAUGUAUCUUCCUGAUGAAUCUCUGGAUCGAGCUUUUUUUUUUUUUUUUGAUAAGUCCCUGGAUUAAGUUUCGUUCGCGCCGGUUCGUCUUAGAUUCGUGUCCUCCAAAACGUUACGGAUUCAUCAAUUCAUCGCCAUUAAGAAGCAAUUUACGACCCACAACUACCACAAUCAAACAUUCAAUGUUUAUCCUCCUAUAAAAAGGAUCGUUGCUCUAUAGGUUCUCUCACAUGAUCCAUCAACACCAAAAUGUUCAUAUUCAUCUGUACAUCCAAUUGUUCCCAUAAAGGAAUAUAAUGAAAUCAUCUAACCUGUUCGUCGGUCAGGCUAUCUUGGAAGACCACUGAAUAUCGAGACUACUUUCAGAGUUUCCACCGGCUGUGCUCAUGGCUUUGGUUUCUUUUUCUUCGCUGGUCCCAGUGUUACUGUGAUAGCCAUAUUGCUCAUUCACAUCACUGAUGUUAAAACUAUAGUUUUACUCGCUAAAAAGUUAAAAUAGUAUUUCCAGAAGCGGUGGUGAUCACGGUGGCAGAGGAGGGGGUCGCGGUGGUGGUGGUCAUGAAGACCAUGUCGGCAUGGAGAAGAAGAAGAAUGCGAGGCAUCGAAAAGAUGUGGAAUGGUUCGUCGACCAGUGACAUGGAGACGAUGGAUCUGGGACUAUUCUAAGGAUCACCGCUAUUCUAUUUAACUAGAGCAUGUGUCAUUCAAGUGUCAUGGAACCUUGGUGACAUUCGGAGUUGGUCCUGUGCUCAAAUUCCGGUAUCCAAAAACAGAGUAGCGAUGGAAAUUGCAGGUAGUGUGACGAGAGAGCACAGAUUCCAAUCUUAUAUUGCAAGGUUUGGCCCAAGUUGGCUACAACAACAUCUGCUAACUGAAGCUCUUGACUAGCAUGGUCUGAAGGGAUUAAGGGUGAAUUUCCAUUUUCAUGUCCCUUAUUCGUUUUUCUUAAUUUUUUUGUAUGGAAACAGUUGAAUUUAUCAAAAGAAAGCAUCUUUAUUAUUAAAAGAGAAAAGUACCCAUUUGAAAAUGUUCUUACUUCAUUAAUUAAACUCCUUUUUUUUUUCUUGUC